rnacentral:rRNA from 1 species
AGUGAACGCUGGCGGUAGGCCUAACACAUGCAAGUCGAACGGCAGCACAGUAAGAGCUUGCUCUUACGGGUGGCGAGUGGCGGACGGGUGAGGAAUACAUCGGAAUCUACUUUUUCGUGGGGGAUAACGUAGGGAAACUUACGCUAAUACCGCAUACGACCUACGGGUGAAAGCAGGGGAUCUUCGGACCUUGCGCGAUUGAAUGAGCCGAUGUCGGAUUAGCUAGUUGGCGGGGUAAAGGCCCACCAAGGCGACGAUCCGUAGCUGGUCUGAGAGGAUGAUCAGCCACACUGGAACUGAGACACGGUCCAGACUCCUACGGGAGGCAGCAGUGGGGAAUAUUGGACAAUGGGCGCAAGCCUGAUCCAGCCACACCGCGUGGGUGAAGAAGGCCUUCGGGUUGUAAAGCCCUUUUGUUGGGAAAGAAAAGCAGCAGGUUAAUACCCCGCUGUUCUGACGGUACCCAGAGAAUAAGCACCGGCUAACUUCGUG